UACAGAGGGGGCAAGCGUUAUUCGGAAUUAUUGGGCGCAAAGGGCGCGUAGGCGGCUUGGCAAGUGGAAGGUGAAAUCCCUCGGCUUAACCGAGGAACUGCCCUCCAAACUGCUUCGCUUGAGACCGGGAGAGGUGAGUGGAAUUCCCAGUGUAGCGGUGAAAUGCGUAGAUAUUGGGAGGAACACCAGUGGCGAAGGCGGCUCACUGGACCGGUACUGACGCUGAUGCGCGAAAGCGUGGGGAGCAAACGGG
rnacentral:rRNA from 1 species